rnacentral:tRNA from 1 species
GGAAGCGUGCCCGAAAAUUAGGGAUCACCUUGAUAGGGUGACUUAUAGGGGUUCAAACCCCCUCACUUCCU